rnacentral:lncRNA from 1 species
AAAGAAAUGUAACAAAAAAAAGUGAUCACUCCUGAGAUUUUCUCAUGCACCGUAGUAGGGUAAAUGCUGGCAUAUUUGGCUUUCUGGGAUAUCAUCAAGGAAAGCAAAGCUGCUCAUUCCAAAAGCACAAGGAGAAUGAUCAGCUGUGAUGUGGCUAGACUGUGUGAAGAAUGAAGAAGGCUAUUUACUUCAUACUUUCUAAAACAUCUGGAAACAGAAGCUGAGUGAGAGGAGGACAGUGAAAGCUCAAGGAUAUACACUAAGGUAAUAAAGUAUAAAGAAAUUUGCA